rnacentral:rRNA from 1 species
GAUGAACGCUGGCGGCGUGCCUAAUACAUGCAAGUCGAGCGAACAGACGAGGAGCUUGCUCCUCUGACGUUAGCGGCGGACGGGUGAGUAACACGUGGAUAACCUACCUAUAAUACUGGGAUAACUUCGGGAAACCGGCGCUAAUACCGGAUAAUAUAUUGAACCGCAUGGUUCAAUAGUGAAAGACGGUUUUGCUGUCACUUAUAGAUUGAUCCGCGCCGCAUUAGCUAGUUGGUAAGGUAACGGCUUACCAAGGCAACGAUGCGUAGCCGACCUGAGAGGGGGAACGGCCACACUGGAACUGAGACACGGUCCAGACUCCUACGGGAGGCAGCAGUAGGGAAUCUUCCGCAAUGGGCGAAAGCCUGAAGGAGCAACGCAGCGUGAGUGAUGAAGGUCUUCGGAUCGUAAAACUCUGUUAUUAGGGAAGAACAAAUGUGUAAGUAACUAUGCACGUCGUGACGGUACCUAAUCAGAAAGCCACGGCUAACUACGUG